UCGAACGUGGUGUAUGGUGGCACUGCCUUGACUCAUGACUGUACUAGUAGUCGGGAUCACAAUAUCGAAGGCAAGUCGGGGUUCGACUCCCCGCGUUCGAA